UCGGCGAGCAGUAAGUUCGUGGCCGCCCUCCGAGGCCGGGCGUACACAGGAUGGCAGAGUUCGCGUGCGUGCGUGCUUGUGUACACCAGUGUGACCUAGAAAUGAUGAUCAGGGCAGCUCCUUGCCUCCCUCCUACUAUUCAGAUCCAAGAGCUUUAGCAGAUAUCAUGAGACCUUGAGGAUGGAAGUCACAUGCUAGAGGAGACAAGAAGGUUGAGAUCCUGAUGACUUCAUAGACCUGCUAAAACAGUUCCUGACUGUUCACUCCUGGCCUUUAUACAGUGAAGAGAAUGAGUCCUUGCAUGUAAACAACUGGGUUUUCUAUUCCAUGCAACUGAAUUUGAUUAAAACAGAUAAUGUGACCCUUAGUGACAUCCAAGUGUUCUUCUGUUCUCAUUAAUACUAUGAAAAAAGGAGCAAAUAUUUCUUAAUA
rnacentral:lncRNA from 1 species